rnacentral:rRNA from 1 species
GACGAACGCUGGCGGCGUGCUUAACACAUGCAAGUCGAACGGAAAGGCCCUGCUUUUGUGGUGUGCUCGAGUGGCGAACGGGGGAGUAACACGUGAGUAACCUGCCCUUGACUUUGGGGUAACUUCAGGAAACUGGGGCUAAUACCGGAUAGGAUCUCCUGCUGCAUUGUGGGGGUUGGAAAGUUUCGGCGGUUGGGGAUGGACUCGCGGCUUAUCAGCUUGUUGGUGGGGUAGUGGCUUACCAAGGCUUUGACGGGUCGCCGGCCUGAGAGGGUGACCGGCCACAUUGGGACUGAGAUACGGCCCAGACUCCUACGGGAGGCAGCAGUGGGGAAUAUUGCACAAUGGGCGGAAGCCUGAUGCAGCAACGCCGCGUGCGGGAUGACGGCCUUCGGGUAGUAAACCGCUUUCGCCUGUGACGAAGCGUGAGUGACGGUAAUGGGUAAAGAAGCACCGGCUAACUACGUG